AUUUUAUGUAUCUUUUAGUCUCACACUAGGGGAUAUAUAUUGGAUUUCCCCUAUAGUUUAUAUUGUCAAACGAGACAUAUAGCCUCCCAGAGAGUCUGUACAGCAGGGUCGGCUACAUAGCUCUAUACCCGUUUGUGCUUCUUCGUGAAUUUAUUUUCCACCAGUGAGCUAUCUUGGUAUACUCUAUUGAGACACUAUUUAUAAUGACCACAGUUUAACUCCAGUACCAUAUCGGCAUUUCUACUAUCGCUAGGUAC